rnacentral:misc_RNA from 1 species
UACGAGGGGUGCAAGCGUUAUUCGGAUUAACUGGGCGUAAAGGGUGUGUAGGUGGCAUAUUAAGUCCGCUGUUAAAUCCUUCAGCUUAACUGAAGGCUCGCGGUGGAUACUGAUGUGCUAGAGUAUGGAAGAGAGAAGUGGAAUUCUCGGAGUAGCGGUAAAAUGCGUAGAUCUCGAGAGGAACACCGAUGGCGAAAGCAGCUUCUUGGUCCAUUUCUGACACUGAUACACGAAAGCGUGGGGAGCAAACAGG